UCCAGACUCCUACGGGAGGCAGCAGUGAGGAAUAUUGGUCAAUGGGCGGGAGCCUGAACCAGCCAAGUCGCGUGAGGGAAGACGGUCCUACGGAUUGUAAACCUCUUUUGUCGGGGAGCAAAGCGAGUCACGUGUGACUCAUUGAGAGUACCCGAAGAAAAAGCAUCGGCUAACUCCGUGCCAGCAGCCGCGGUAAUACGGAGGAUGCGAGCGUUAUCCGGAUUUAUUGGGUUUAAAGGGUGCGUAGGCGGGCUGUUAAGUCAGCGGUCAAAUGUCGGGGCUCAACCCCGGCCUGCCGUUGAAACUGGCGGCCUCGAGUGGGCGAGAAGUAUGCGGAAUGCGUGGUGUAGCGGUGAAAUGCAUAGAUAUCACGCAGAACUCCGAUUGCGAAGGCAGCAUACCGGCGCCCUACUGACGCUGAGGCACGAAAGCGUGGGUAUCGAACAGGAUUAGAUACCCCGGUAAU
rnacentral:rRNA from 1 species